rnacentral:rRNA from 1 species
GUAACGGCGAGUGAAGCGGCAACAGCUCAAAUUUGAAAUCUGGCCCUUUCAGGGCCCGAGUUGUAAUUUGGAGAAGAUGCUUCGGGUGUGGCCCCGGUCUAAGUUCCUUGGAACAGGACGUCACAGAGGGUGAGAAUCCCGUACGUGCCCGGUGGCCGCGCCCGUGUGAAGCUCUUUCGACGAGUCGAGUUGUUUGGGAAUGCAGCUCAAAAUGGGUGGUAAAUUUCAUCUAAAGCUAAAUAUUGGCCAGAGACCGAUAGCGCACAAGUAGAGUGAUCGAAAGAUGAAAAGCACUUUGGAAAGAGAGUUAAACAGUACGUGAAAUUGUUGAAAGGGAAGCGCUUGCAACCAGACUUGCGCGCGGCCGAUCAUCCGGUGUUCGCACCGGUGCACUCGACCGCGCGCAGGCCAGCAUCGGUUUGGGUGGCUGGAGAAAGGCCUCGGGAAUGUGGCUCCCUCCGGGGAGUGUUAUAGCCCGAGGCGCAAUGCAGCCUAUCCGGACCGAGGACCGCGCUUCGGCU